UCCGAUCUCUCUCCCUCUCUCUCCUGCUCCCUCACUCCCUGCCUCUCGAUCUCUCUCCCCAUCUGUCUCCCGCUCGCUCAUGGACGAUCUCCCUCCGUCUCGAUCUCUCCCUCUCUCGUUCGCUCCCUUCUCUCUUUCUCUCUCACUAUCUCUAUUUUCUACUCUCACUCUUCCUCUCCCUUCAACAGAAACAGUGAUCUUCGAGCCAUUGAUCGGAUCGAGCUUCCGACGAUCGGAUUUCGCAGGUGUGGAGCGGCUGGAGUUUGGAUCUGGUCCAUACGCUUAGGGAUCUCCAUCCAUAAGGGUGUCGACCCAAGAAUCAAGGUGGAGGUUUGGCCAAGAGUAAGAUUUUCUAAUGCUGUCAUCAUCUUAGCCUUUCUCCAACAGUUUGGGGUCAACUUUUAAAUGGUAGAUUGGUGACGUUUUAGGAUUGAUUGCCCACAUUAGAUCAACCUUCCUGUUUUAUGUUCUGGAAUUGGCCAUUUCAGAGGUUCACAUUCAACAAAAAGAUGGGCAAGAAAGAAAAUACAGCAACAGUCAACACUCAAUCAAAAUGCAAUGCAAGAGAGGGACCGGUUAUUAGCUGAAGUUGAAAGCCUUGCUGCCGAUUUGAUUCUGGAGAUGGAUUUUGGUUUUUAUAGCAUUUGGUGGAGAUAUUACACAAAAUGAUGAUGACUUGAGGAAAUGGAAAGGCUGGUUUGAAUCUCGGCUCUGCCAACUGACAUUGAAGGUGAAAGGGUUUCUGUUCAUUUAAGAAUUAUAUGAUCCUGGACCAACGGAUAUAUAGCAUCCUUUGCCAAGGUUUAUACCUCGUGUGGGUCCAGACACAGUCAGGGAUGGAUGUUGGAUUUGGAGUGUCCGCAGCUGCCCUGGCUGUGGGCCUGAUCAGCUUGAUUUCUAGCACUCUUUUCUACAGAAACAAGCCUCCUCAAGGCAGCAUCUUCACCCCAAUU